UUUUAUUUUUCUUAUAAGUAUGGAGGAAAUCAACUUUCUGAAAGAAAAAUAUCAUCAAGAGAAUCAUUUGCAGAGGGCUUGUUAAGUCUGGCAUUUUUCAAAAACUAUUUUUUUUGUUUGUUUUUGAAAGACAUUUACAGUUGUGUCCCACUACCCCACCCUCAGUAUGGUAUGGUAAACAUAUAUGGUAAAACAAUGUUAUGGUAUGGUGAAACAUAUAUAUGGUAAAACAAAAUAGCCACAGGGAACAGUUUUUGAGUUUUGGGCCAGGUUUGGGCACACAUCACCUAUGGCAAUCAAACCCAAUUCUAAAGGUAUAUUUCUGGCUGAAAAAAGAAAUAUAAGGACAACAAAUAUGUUGAUGCAGUUUAAACCAUGUUUUAAGUCAUAGGCAUAUGUCCAGAUAUUUAGUAAUAUUUUAAAAUCUUAAUUCAAAUCUAACUGGGAAAAUAGGCAUUCUGAUUAUUUAAUAGUUGGAUAAUAAAAUGGCAGUGACGCACAAUACAAUUUUCACUGUAGCCUCAAAGUCCCUCCUUACUGGCUUUCUUAUCUUUAGCAUGGCUUGUGGUCUUUAGAAAAUAACCUAAAGAGCUUAUAAAGCUUCUUAAAAGUAUUUUGUAUUCUCCAAGUUUUCCAAAGAUGAAAAUUCAACAUAAACAGUCAUUAAGGCUACUCAAUCUUAUAUCAUUAUGCAAUGGCAUUUUCUUAAGUACACAAAUUCUGUAUUAGGUAUCUACCUUCUCAUACACCUUUGCAAUAUUUAUUGUGAAAAGUUUCCAACAUACAGCAAAUUUAAAAGAAUUUUAAAGCAAGCACCUAUAUACUUCCUACCUACAUUCUACCACUAACAUUUUAUUAAAGUUGCUUUUUUGCAUAUCUAUUCAUCUAUCUGCUGUGACACACUUUGAAAGUACAGUGCAUAGUAUCACAUUUCUACACCUUCUUCCCACCACGGCUUAUCUUAUUUAAUUUACUUUUAAAAUUCAGAAAAGCAAAACCAUUUGUUUAGUAAGCUUCUAAACUAAGAACACUAAAAGUUCAGGAUUUGUUCCUCUACAGCAAAUUGUUGCUUUCAUAUGAAAAGCAAAUCAGUGAACUACAUUUCUAGCAUUAAGUGCUCAUUGUAGGUCCUAUCGCCAGAAUUAGGAAAGAGGAUUUUGGAUCAAAGGGCUGUUGUUUUUUGGUUUUUGUUUUUUUAUAGUUCUGUAAAAAGCAAGUGAUCAAACAACUCAACUUUUCGAAGGGACAACUUCAUGCUGUGAUAGGCAGUUCCAGUUGAUACUAAUCAUCACGUCCUCAAUUUCAUAUCCUUUUAUCAUCAAUGUUUCUGGUAAACAAGUUCACUUUGGGCUAAACAACAAGCAUUCACCUCUGGAACAGACAACCAAAGUAGCAAGCUUCAACAGGGCUAGGAAGGCUAAUGCCUACUCAGAAAGGUUACAUAUGCUCUGAGAAACAGUAGUGCUCCGGUGGCUUAUUGAGAUUAAGUAGGCAGACAACAAAAAUUAAACUUGAAAUUUCAGUUAUGUCAGAUUCAGCAAUGUUCCACAUUACUUUGAGGACAAUAAGUAAACUCUUCUUAGCCCUCCCUCAGUCCCCAAAUCAAACAAAACUACAUUCAAAGAGAAAACAAAAUAUGAUGUCCUUCUUCACAGGAAAGUUCUGAGUCCAAUUCUUUCAUCUGGAAGAUUCUUGUCUCUACAAACAUAAAUUUUCUCAUCUUCUGUAGACUUAGCUUUUAAAACUGUAUGUGCAGUGGUAUGUAGCAUACAAUGACUAAUACAUUAAAAAAAUUGUUUUCCGUCUGCUGAAGACAAUGACUGAGAAACGAUAUGUUUUAAUCUACUAGAUUUCUUGGCAUUAUGUAGUCUUGGUGCUCUUUCUAAAGCAAGGUGAAACUAACAAGUAGUCGUAUUUGACAAUUUCACCUGUCAUCACUCAAACAGCAGGACUGGAGUGGUGUGGUGUAAGAUAGGUAAGGAACCUGAGAGAACUGUCAUUAUUUUGGAUCCCCAGAUGGCAAAUGAAUACUACUAUCACUUUAAAACAUUUACCUCUCUGCCCCCUACAAAAACAACAACAACAACAACAACAACAACAACAACAACAAAUGAAUAAAAGGGCAAACUAUGUAUUCUAUAUCUUUGCCGCUUGAAGAAUAAAAAAAGAAAUAAUCCAUUUAAAACUAAACUAUUACUUGAUGUUCUUCUGAUCCCUGUUGACACAAUUUCCUAUUUUUAUAUGCAUUGGCCCUAGUGGAUGGGAUGGAACCAUGUUACCCAAUCUCAAACACAGCUGUGCUUAUCAUUAGCCUCUCCAGUGGUCCUUUUCUCUCUCGCUGGUAGUCAGCACACCUGGCAUACACCUGCCACUGACUUUCUUUGUAACAAUUGAUCUGAGCAUGAUGAUUUUAUGCCUCAUAAAGGAAAAGAGCCGUCUUUUUAUUUUAAUAAAAAUAAAGAAAAAAACUGAGUUGCUUCCAUAAGCAUUCUGCCCCCUAAAUAUAUUAUUCCUCUAUUGUCAAACAUUCUCUAAACAAGCACAUUGUUAUGACACGUUGACACAUGUUCAAGAAAAAUUUGUUUCAUGAAAUUUUGUUUCCAAAAGAGCCAGACCAAAGUUUGUGCUUUGGCCAUAAAAUCCAUACAAAAAGUUACCCUUUAAAGUUACCAUUUAAGUUACCAUUAAAGCUACAUCUAUGUGACUGAUGGAUUUAUAAGUAGCUUUUGUGUUAUGGCUCAAAUGAAUUUUGAGGAUUUUUUUUCUCCAUGUGGAUCUACACACAGACAUGACAGACAUGACAGCUUUGAAUAAAUCCCUCCUGUUCCUGAAAGUGACAUUUCCCGGAGGCAUAGCCAUUACUCUCAUCUCGGGCUCUCCCACUUGGCCUUAAUAACCUUAGGAAUCCUAAAUCCAUACCACAAUUCUCAUCAUUCCUCCAUCAAUCUCCCUAUGGCUUCUUUAAUUCAUCCCUUUUCUCCAGUGGUUUAUAAAUUCACUGAUGACAAUGUUACAAAUAAGACAUGGCAAUCCCUAAAGGGUGGGCAGGUCUGGGGGUCCUAUCCAUUUUCUUCAUGGGUAAAAGCUUUCGGGUAAUUACUUGUUGAAGAAGCUCUUCAAAGUCACAGGGACAAGAAAGAUCUGGGGCCACAGACAGCUUGUUUAUCCACUGGACACGUGGUAAUCAAAGAAAAAUUAAAACAGCAGAGUCUAGAGGACAUAGCCAAUUGCAUACAUUACUUUAUGAAAAACAUCAACUAAAACCUUGGUUGAUAUAAAAAGUGUUACUACUAAUUAGGGGGAAAACACAGCAGCUUAUAAUUACAGGCAAAGUUAAAAUAAUUCAUUUAUAUAAAGUAUUGUGACCAAACACCUGAGCUCAAAUAUUCUGUGAAUCCAUGGCUCAAGUAAAAAGGAGUUUAAUGCCUAGAGAUUAUGUAUUUGAGUCAUGAAGGCAAGAAUAAUUUAAGAAGAUAAAAAGCAGAUUAUGUGGUAAUGUUGGGCAUUCAAGUACCUGUUGAGGUUGUUAGGCAGAAUUGUAUUAGUUUGAACAACGGUGGCUUCAUGUUGAUGCAUGGUCAUCCUUUUGGCACUAGGGAAGCUAGCUAGAUUCAUUCAAUACAGUUGUGUGUUGCUAUCACACAAAAAGGUAAUAGGUAGUGGAUUACUUCUGACAUUUUACCAAAUUUGAUAUUACAUUUUUCCAUUCCUGGAAAAAACAAGCACAAAUGCAUUUGAAUACACAGGGUGUCUUGGCACUUUGGUGAUUCGUACAGGAAAUUUUAUAUGACUUUAUCAGCUAAUAAGAAAGAAACUGGUCUUCAAAAAAUAACAGUUAUAAAACCUCUCUUGUUUGGUGAUAAGGGAUAUAAGAAGAUUCUUAAAUAUGGCAAUUUUAAUUUUCCAAAGCAUGAGCACGAAGUAUGUUCAUUUUAUUCAUGUGUUUUAUACUUUGCACGACACUGCGAUCCAAAUGAUGAGGAGAGGCCAUCCCAGUGGAACAGAAGGGCUGGUCUGUGUGUGUGGGUCUGGGGAGCAAGCGUGAAUAAGAGUGAUGAAGAAGCAAGUGCAGAAGAGUUAAGACUAAAGGAAGCCCACCCUACUGAAAUGGACAGGGAAAUGGACAGGGAAAUGGUGGGAAAUGGACUGGAGGAAAGAAGACUGGAGGCAAGGAGAGCAAAUGGGGGCUACUGAAGAGGAAUAAAACCUCAAAUCUUAGACGCUUCUAUGAUGGAAGUCAUCACAAAAUUUUGAAGACACGAUGAGAAUUAUUUCUUGAACAACACAGAGCAGAGAUGUUGAUGUUCAUCAAUGAUGAAGAGCAUGAACUUGAUUGAGAGAACUGUAAGGGUUCCUUUGAAGACUCUCCUUGCAAUAUCAAAUUAAUGUCCCAAUGUGAAUAAUAUAUUGAUAAUAUAUUACUGAGACAAAGAAGAAUGACUGAUGCUCAAUUACUUUAAAUACAUCUUUGGAAGUAGAUACUGAAUUUAAUGAAGAGUCUUUUAAAAAUUACUGUACUCUUGUAAAACUGUCCUGGGUAGGUGAGUGUGGGGGUUUUAAAGAGAGAAGAAGCAAUGCUUUACUAAGGAACAGCUAAAUUGCCAUGGAUAGUACAGUGCCCCAAAUGGAAAAAGCUUUUUAAACUUAUAAAACAACAUCUUCUCCUCAUAAGAAACACUAAAAAAGUUUUGUUUAAAGUACAGAAGUGUGCCUAUCACAUUGGUGGUGCUCAGUAAAUACAUUUUUUACUUUUUUAGUUUUUUUUAUAUUUGAGAGGGAGAGAGAAAGAGACAGAGUGCCAACAGCGGACGGGCAGAGAGAUGGAGA